GCCUCUGUAGUGUAGUGGUCAGCACGCUGGGCGCGUAUUCUAGAGGUCCGUGGUUCGAAUUCCGGCGAAGGUG
rnacentral:tRNA from 1 species